rnacentral:rRNA from 1 species
AGGACCCGUCUUGAAACACGGACCAAGGAGUCUAGCAUAUAUGCAAGUCUUUGGAUAAAAAUAUCCAUAAGGCAUAAUUAAUGUGAAUGGCAUUGUUUUUAUUUUGAUGUUAAAUGAUUUUUUGAAGGAAGGUGUAUAUAUAUAUUUAUUUUUAACAGAGAUUAUAUUUACACAUAAUAAUAAAUAAACUAAGGGAAGAUAAGUGAUUUUAAAAUAUCACUUCGCAUUCCCGGGGCGUUCCAAUAUAGACUUUAUAAUUAGUUUGGGGCGCACCAAUAGCAUAUACGCUGGGACCCGAAAGAUGGUGAACUAUGC